rnacentral:rRNA from 1 species
GUCUACGGCCAUGCUACCCUGAACAAGCCCAAUCCCGUCUGAUCUUGGAAGCAAAGCAGGGUUGGGCCUGGUUAGUACUUGGAUGGGAGACCACCUAGGAAGACCAGGUGCUGUAGGCA